CUUUAGCACACUCGCCAAGUCUUGCUUUGCGCUUUGGUUUUCUGUGCGCUUGUUUUGAUUCAUCCUCUCCUAUCUGGCAGAUUCCGACAGCUCAGUGCCCGGCACAGCGUGGGUGGCUGAAGCGUUCGGGAAUGAAUGAAUGAAGGGGCAUGGGCUGCAGCCUGUACUUUGCUGGGGCAGAGUGCUCAGUUCCACAACACGCUAACUCCUAAGCCUUACUCGCCCAUCUCUAGGUCAUGCCCUCUCUAGGUCUCGCAUCUGAUUCUGUGUCCCUCACCCUGCCUCAGCUUGAGUCCCACGGUUACUGAGAGCUGGGGGGACCUGUUGUCUAAAUGGGAGAACCAAGGCCCAGAGAAAAAUCACAUCGCUAGGAGCUGGGGACAGAGCCACAGACCAGGCCUACGCCCUCCCCUCUGACCCUGUGCUCUUGCUGUUUUAGGAGCGUGAGGCUUGCUGUCACGUGGAUGGUCCUGUUUGGAUGCUGGGACUGGUGCCCUCCACUCCAUGGAGUCUCUGGGGCUCAGCACGAGGACGGGCUCGGAGACAUGAACAGACACUUCUCAAAGAAGACAUCCAGAUGGCCAACAGACACAUGAGAAGAUGCUCAACGUCACUCAUCAUCAGGGAAAAACAAAUCACAACCACAGGGAGAUACCACCUUGCACCUGUCAGAAUGGCCAAGAUCAAAACCUUAAGAAACAACAAGAGUUGGCGAGGAUGUGGAGAAAAAGGAACACUCAUGCACUGUUGGUGGGAACGCAAACUGGUGCAACCUCUCUGGAAAACGGAAGCCUCCCCAGCAUACCCCAACCCACGUGCUCCUGCGUUCCUGCAGACUUGAUUGCUCGGUGGACCUCAGUGGACAAGGCUGUCUUCUUGCUGAGCUGACCUUCACGAAUGACCACUCAGCCCCCAGAAAGUGAGACUCAGUAGAGUUGCCCAACCAGCUGAGUGACCUGGAGUAACUUAACCUCACUGUCCCUCUGUUAACUCAGGGAUCCAGAGGAGAUAAGACCAUCUUUCCCGGAGUGUGUUUAAGGAUUCAAUGAGGUAAUGCAUGUGAAAUGCCUGACACAGCCAUAAAGAGCGCUUCCUGAUGGGUUAUCAUCAUAGAUUUGUGUUUGUCUCCCUUUCUAGGCCAGGAGCCUCAUGGAAGGUAGGGAUUAUACCUCCGUGACUUCUGGUGCUCAGAGCCUGGAAGGAUGCCUGACACACAGUCGGUGCUCAGUGAAGGCCUGUUGAAGAAAUGUACUUCCCUUCUUGGUGUCCCCAGCAGCACCUUGCAGGCGACGGAGAUUCAGGAUGGGGUAAAGCUUAGGAAGAUGGUUUUGGGGAUCAGAUAGAUUUUGGGUCCAUAUCCUUCCUCUGACUCAUAACAGGCAUGAUACUUUAAGUCACUCCACUUAAUCUGCUUUCUUCUCUGCAAAAUUGGAUUAAAAGGCCACCUCCCAGGGUUCUGUGAUGAUUCACUAAAUCAUAUAACUCAUGCGUGUGCAGUGUUUAAUGCAGUUCACGAUGGGAGCUGUAAUUAUGAUGAUCAAUGAUUAACUCCCAUGUAUGCGGCUGCCCAGUGCAGUGGGCCUGUGUGGGUGGCUUUCCCGGUAUCUUUCUCCUCCCUGCCCCCUGCCCUUCUGGAUAGCCUUGAUUUUGAUUUGGGGAGCCAUGCAUCUCCAGCGACUGACCCUGCUUCUGUACCAGGCAGAACUGGGGCUAAGUCAGUAAGCGCAUUUCAACCCCCUGGCUCAGUGACUGGUUUACAGUUGGGCGUGUAACCCAUACAUGUCACAUUAGAGUGAACCUCAGGACUUUUGCUGGGGAUUCUGGGACAAAGAUGGUUCUCUGAUACUCUGCUGAGCACAAAUGAGUUGAUCUUUGUCUUGGUAACCGCUGGCACAUGUCUUGAGACUAUAGAUAGGGAAGCCAGUGUUGAAAGAGACAAGUUGAGUGAGAGAAAGAAACUGGGCCCUUACUGGCACUGUUAAGCUGCUGGAUCAAGCUUUUCCUGAAGGACUUUUUUAAAAAAGUGAGCCAAUAAAUUGCUUUUAUUAUGUAUGGCUAUUUGAAUUGGGUUUUCUGUUCCUAGUAACCAAAAUCAUCCUUACGGAUACAACCCAUACAUUUCUCCA